UACGUAGGCAGCGAGCGUUGUUCGGAGUUACUGGGCGUAAAGGGUGUGUAGGCGGUUGUUUAAGUUUGGUGUGAAAUCUCCCGGCUCAACUGGGAGGGUGCGCCGAAUACUGAAUGACUUGGAGUGCGGGAGAGGUGAGUGGAAUUCCUGGUGUAGCGGUGAAAUGCGUAGAUAUCAGGAGGAACACCGGUGGUGUAGACGACUCACUGGACCGUAACUGACGCUGAGACACGAAAGCGUGGGUAGCAAACAGG
rnacentral:rRNA from 1 species